GUCUACUGCCACGCUAUCCUGAACACGCCUGAUCCCAUCUGAUCUCAGAAGCUAAGCACGGUUGGGCCUGAUUAGUACUUGGAUAGGAGACCACCUAGGAAGACUAGGUGCUGUAGGUG
rnacentral:rRNA from 1 species